UGCAAGUCGAACGGCAGCACGGACUUCGGUCUGGUGGCGAGUGGCGAACGGGUGAGUAAUGUAUCGGAACGUGCCCAGUCGUGGGGGAUAACGUAGUGAAAAUUACGCUAAUACCGCAUACGAUCUAUGGAUGAAAGCGGGGGAUCGCAAGACCUCGCGCGAUUGGAGCGGCCGAUAUCAGAUUAGGUAGUUGGUGGGGUAAAGGCCCACCAAGCCAACGAUCUGUAGCUGGUCUGAGAGGACGACCAGCCACACUGGAACUGAGACACGGUCCAGACUCCUACGGGAGGCAGCAGUGGGGAAUUUUGGACAAUGGGCGAAAGCCUGAUCCAGCCAUUCCGCGUGCAGGAUGAAGGCCCUCGGGUUGUAAACUGCUUUUGUACAGAACGAAAAGGUUUCUACUAAUACUAGGAGCUCAUGACGGUACUGUAAGAAUAAGCACCGGCUAACUACGUGCCAGCAGCCGCGGUAAUACGUAGGGUGCAAGCGUUAAUCGGAAUUACUGGGCGUAAAGCGUGCGCAGGCGGUUAUAUAAGUCAGAUGUGAAAUCCCCGGGCUCAACCUGGGAACUGCAUUUGAGACUGUAUAGCUAGAGUACGGCAGAGGGGGAUGGAAUUCCGCGUGUAGCAGUGAAAUGCGUAGAUAUGCGGAGGAACACCGAUGGCGAAAGCAAUCCCCUGGGUCUGUACUGACGCUCAUG
rnacentral:rRNA from 1 species